rnacentral:rRNA from 1 species
CGGGGGGCAGCAGUGGGGAAUUUUGGACAAUGGGCGCAAGCCUGAUCCAGCAAUGCCGCGUGCAGGAUGAAGGCCUUCGGGUUGUAAACUGCUUUUGUACGGAGCGAAACGGUCUAUUUUAAUACAGUGGACUAAUGACGGUACCGUAAGAAUAAGCACCGGCUAACUACGUGCCAGCAGCCGCGGUAAUACGUAGGGUGCGAGCGUUAAUCGGAAUUACUGGGCGUAAAGCGUGCGCAGGCGGUUAUAUAAGACAGAUGUGAAAUCCCCGGGCUCAACCUGGGACCUGCAUUUGUGACUGUAUAGCUAGAGUACGGUAGAGGGGGAUGGAAUUCCGCGUGUAGCAGUGAAAUGCGUAGAUAUGCGGAGGAACACCGAUGGCGAAGGCAAUCCCCUGGACCUGUACUGACGCUCAUGCACGAAAGCGUGGGGAGCAAACAGGAUUAGAUACCCCCGU